GACGAACGCUGGCGGCGUGCCUAAUACAUGCAAGUCGAACGCAGUGGGGACGGGUGAGUAACACGUGGGUAACCUCCCAUCAGAGGGGAUAACCCUUGGAAACAGGUGCUAAACAGAUACGUCUGGAUGGACCCGCGGUGCAUUAGCUAGUUGGUGAGGUAACGGCUCACCAAGGCCACGAUGCAUAGCCGACGUGAGGGGGGGGUAGGCCAUACUGGGACUGAGACACGGCCCAGACUACUAAGUGAGGCAGCAGUAGGGAAUCUUGGGCAAUGGUGGAAAGUCUGACCGAGCAACGCCGGGUGAGUGAAGAAGGUUUUCGGAGCGUAAAGCUCUGUGGUUAGAGAAGCGUUAUCUAACCAGGAAGCCACGGCUAACGACGGGCCAGCAGCGGCGGUAAUUC
rnacentral:rRNA from 1 species